GAGUUCGAUCCUGGCUCAUCUAAACCGCCUGGCGGGAUGCUUUACACAUGCAAGUCGAACGGCAGCACGGACUUCGGUCUGGUGGCGAGUGGCGAACGGGUGAGUAAUGUAUCGGAACGUGCCUAGUAGCGGGGAUAACUAAGCGCGAAAGCGUAGCUAAUACCGCAUACGCCCUUCGGGGGAAAGCGGGGGGACCUGCCUCGCACUAUUAGAGCGGCCGAUAUCGGAUAAGAAGUUGGUGGGGUAACGGCUCACUACAUGACGAUCCGUAGCUGGUUUGAGAGGACGACCAGCCACACUGGGACCUGGAGACACGGCCCAGACUCCUACGGGAGGCAGUGGGGAAUUUUGAUGUUUGGGGAAACCCGAUCCAGCCAUCCUGGUGGGAAGACGAAGGCCUCAGGUUGUGUGCCACUUUGGCAGGAAAGAAACGGCACGGGAUAAUACCCCGUGCAACUGACGGUACCUGCAGAAUAAGCACCGGCUGGAAUUGCGCUGAAAGCAGCCGCGGUAAUACGUAGGGUGCAAGCGUUAAUCGGAAUUACUGGGCGUGUGUUGCGUGCAGGCGUGUUCGGAAAGAAAGAUGUGAAAUUCCAGAGCUUAACUUUGGAACUGGCAUUUUUAACUACCGAGCUAGAGUGUGUCAGAGGGAGGUGGAAUUCCGCGUAGCAGUGAAAUGCGUAGAUAUGCGAUAGCCCACCGAUGGUUUUAAGGCAGCCUCCUGGGAUAACACCAGCCCAUGCACGAAAGCGUGGGGAGCAAACACAGGAUUAGAUAUCUGGUAGUCCACGCCCUAAACGAUGUCAACUAGCUGUUGGGGUCAGCCUCAUGUAGCGCAGCUAACGCGUGAAGUUGACCGCCUGGGGAGUAUGGUCGCAAGAUUAAAAACUCAAAGGAAUUGACGGGGACCCACACAAGCGGUGGAUGAUGUGGAUUAAUUCGAUGCAACGCGAAAACCUUACCUACCCUUGACAUGUCUGAAUCCCGAAGAGAUUUGGGAGUGCUCGCAAGAGAACCGGAACACAGGUGCUGCAUGGCUGUCGUCAGCUCGUGUCGUGAGAUGUUGGGUUAAGUCCCAACGAGCGCAACCCUGUCAUUAGUUGCUACGAAAGGGCACUCUAAUGAGACUGCCGGUGACAAACCGAGGAAGGUGGGGAUGAUGUCAAGUCCUCGCGCCUCCUAUGGAUUCACACGUCAUACAAUGGUCGGGACAGAGGGUCGCCAACCCGCGAGUGGGAGCCAAUCCCAGAAACCCGAUCGUAGUCCGGAUCGCAGUCUGCAACUCGACUGCGUGAAGUCGGAAUCGCUAGUAAUCGCGGAUCAGCAUGUCGCGGUUAAAUGAACCCCGGUGGUCUUGUACACACCGCCCGUCACACCAUGGGAGUGGGCUUUACCAGAAGUAGCUAGCCUAACCGUAAGGAGAAGGACACCACGGUAGGAUUCAUGACUGGGGUGAAGUCUGUACGCGUAG
rnacentral:rRNA from 1 species